GUUGCCGGUCAUAGGGUGGUGGGAAACACCCGGUCCCAUUCCGAACCCGGAAGUUAAGCCCCACCCGCCCGGCGAGUAGUGCUUUGCGGGAGCGGGCGCGAAAGCCGGGUGCUGGCAACC
rnacentral:rRNA from 2 species